CCUACGGGCGGCAGCAGUGAGGAAUAUUGGUCAAUGGCCGAGAGUCUGAACCAGCCAAGUAGCGUGAGGGAAGAAUGCCCUAUGGAUUGUAAACUUCUUUUAUCAGGGAGUAAAACGACGCACGUGUGCGUGUUUGCGUGUACCUUAUGAAAAAGGAUCGGCUAACUCCGUGCCAGCAGCCGCGGUAAUACGGAGGAUUCGAGCGUUAUCCGGAUUUAUUGGGUUUAAAGGGAGCGUAGGCGGGUUGUUAAGUCAGGUGUGAAAUUUUGGGGCUCAACCGUAAAACGGCAAUUGAAACUGGCAGUCUUGAGUACAGGUGAGGUAAGCGGAAUUCGUGGUGUAGCGGUGAAAUGCUUAGAUAUCACGAAGAACCCCGAUUGCGAAGGCAGCUUACCAAAGUGCGACUGACAUUGAUGCUCGAAAGUGUGGGUAUCAAACAGGAUUAGAUACCCGAGUAGUC
rnacentral:rRNA from 1 species